rnacentral:lncRNA from 1 species
GCAUGCCAAAGGGAUGUCUUUGGAAACACACAAUUUGGAACCCAUCUCAGAAGGUAAGGGAGAUGAAGGCUACAGUAGCUCCCCAACUUGUCAUCCAGAGCCUUACCUUCCUGGUCUAUGUGUGGUUCCAGCAAAACCCAUUCUGGGGCAUGUUCUGCAAGGCAGCUGUUGGCAUGCCUUGAGACUCAAACCCAGACACAAGGGAGCUGAAAAACCCUGAGGAGAGAAUAAGGAAAUGUGGCAGUUAAGGCAUGGGCUGCAUGCUGUUCACGGGAUGUGGCUGGAGGUGUACACAGGACCAGCAUUUCCUGUAUAAAGCAAAACUCUGUUAAGCUUGAGCGUUUAAAGAAGAAGGCCUGUUGCCUGAGGACAGCAUUUCAUACAUCACUGAGGCCUCCAAGACCUGGUGGACUGAUUUCAGCAUCUUCAUAUUCAGUAACCUUAGUAGAAUAUGUCUUAUACUAAGAGAUCUUUUCUGUCUUCAGUGCAUUAACUUAUGUAACCAUUACAGCAGUCCCAUUGCUGUCCCAUCCUGCAUAUGAGAACACUCAAGCACAGACAGGUUAAGAAUUUUCUCAUUAUGGAAGGAUUCAAAGCCGAAUCUUCCCAGGUGAACUGUCGGGCACUUUAUUCCCUGUCUUGGUUUAGCAUUGCAGAUGGUUUGAGACCUUCAAGGCGAGGCAAUGCACAUUCAACUGAGCCCACCGUGAGCUGUGUUUUUCUUGCAUCUGUCUGCAAGCUUUAGUGGUCUAGAGAAGAACAAAAAGGAAAGAUGCACCACUGGGCUGCCACCACCACUCCCUAGUCUUCAUUCUUAUGACAAAGUACUCAAAGGCAGGCAGGAGCAUGAUUUCUUGUGUGCUUUUCUAGCAUUUAAUAUGGUGCUUGACUCACACCCAGAAAAUGUUUGUUCUAUAUGAUGGUGCUGAUGUUGAAAUCGAAGUUUGGCAAUCAUUCUCUUUGCUGUUAUUACCAGCAUACAUUGAUUGCACAUAAUGAUGAAUUUCAGUAUAUUUUCAUACAUGUAUAUAAUAUACUUUGAUCAUUUCAUCCCCUUCCAUUGCUCCAUUUUCUCCCUCCCAUUCUCACGGAUUCCCUUACUCUUCCUGAAUAGUUUCCUUUCUAUUUUCAUAUAUUGUUUUUAAAUUGGUGACAUAAUGAGUUCCAUUGAUAUUAUUUCUAGGAGUAUGCACAUCUUUCCAGGGGGCUAUAUCAUUGAAUUGACUGUAUCUUCCUUCUCAGAAACCAUUAACUCCUAUAAACCCUCAGGGA